CAGUAGCGUAUAUUAAAGUUGUUGCAGUUAAAAUGCUCGUAGUUGAAGUUCGGAUGCAGCAGAGCUUGGAAACGCUGUUAUGGUGCUUCCGUUGCUUUUGCUUGGCCACAGUGCGUUGCAAGUACGUAUGUGCUUGUGCGUGCAUUUUACUUUGAGAAACAUAGGGUGUUCCACGCAUGUUACGGCAUGAAUAUUCCAGCAUGGGAUAAUCUGGUACGACUUCCAAUCUGCCAUUUUGGUUCGUAGGUUGGAAGUAAUGAUUAAUAGGGACUGUCGGGGGCAUUGGUAUUUGACUGUCAGAGGUGAAAUUCUUAGAUUCGUUGAGGACCAACCACUGCGAAAGCAUUUGUCAAGGAUGUCUCCAUUAA
rnacentral:rRNA from 1 species